GUCUGGGGGCACCGGAGGCCAUCUUGGGGGCGCUGGGGCUAGUGGCCUGCGGCUGUCCCCCGACCGGGGCUCGCGAGAGCCGCCUGCUUGAGCAUCUCCUCCGCUGCCCUUCACCUGCCCACCAGCGUACUCGCCGUCGUCGGCGCCUCCGUCACCUCUUCUCGCGUCUAUUUUCUGUUUUUCCCAGUCUGGGAUUCUCUCCCCAUCUCCUGUGUUCCACAAUUAUUUUCCAUCUUGACACCUUUUUUUUUUUUUUUCUAAUAAUCGUCAUCUUCUAACUCAUGUAGUUUUAAAAAGUCAUUUUCAUCAUUUCGUCUCCCGACCCACGUUGAGCUCCGCCUCGGCGAGGUCUCCUGCCUGUUUGCUGCAGAACGCCCCGGACAGCGGCCGACGGUGAUUAGGUGCUGAUACCUAUUAGCUGAAUGAGUGACUGAGAACCGGACGGUCUUGCUAUGUAGCCCAGGCUGGCCUCGAACUUGUGGCAAUGCUCCUGCCUCAGCCUCCUGAGCGUUGGGAUUACAGGGCCUGAGCCCAGCCCUGGCCACCUCCCAGCUUCCUCCGGUUGUGAAAGCGGCCUUCGAGUCCUGUGUCCACACGAGGGCGAGGGCGAAGCGGCCUGGGCUCCGCGGCCCGGAAGACGUCCGGGUGACGCAAGAGGUGAAAGAAUUUCAUUUAGGGCGGGCUCAGCCCCCCUAUGGCAACCGCCGACUCAGGACUCAGGGUCCCUCCAGGGUGCCGAGCUUUAAAAGCCUAGGUGUGAGCUUGGCCCUGCCACCUACCUGUGUCCUCUUACACAGGUUGAGUGAGGCUUCUGAGCUAUGCCCGGGCCUGUGUCACGUUCUUGUUACGGCUCAGUGCCGGCCGGCACGGAGCACUCGAUGCCUGCCAAGCACACAGUGCUGGUGUCGGCGCACGCGUACGAGUCUCACAGCUCUGUGAGGAGGUCCUAUGACUUCUUCAGUUUACAGACUAGGAGGUAAGGAACCUGAAGGCGAAGCAGUUUACCCACACGCAUAGCUAGCAAAGGGCAAUCCGAACAACUUUUGUAGUAUUGGCAGGAAGAUAAAACGAGGUAAUGUGCAUAAAAUAUCUGAGAUGGAAAGGAACUCUGUAAAUACCUCCUUGUAUUAGUUAUAAUUAAGCUUGGCUACAGAAAACAAAGUCUAAGUAAGAGUGAUUUAAAGGAACUAAAAGGAUUUUUUUCUCCCUAAUCUGGAAGAAAUUCAAAAUAGGCAAGCUGCAGCUGGGCAUGGUGGGGCACACCUGUAAUCCCAGCACUGGGGAGGCUGAGGCAGGGGGAUCUUCAGGAUUUCAAGGUCAGCCUGAGUUACAUAGUGAGACCCUUGCCUAAUAGGCAAGCUGAGGCUGGGAGGGCUCCAUACAAUCAGCGGUCAGGCUCCUUCCAGCUCUGCUCUGCUAUCCCUUGCUCAUGACUUUCAUUCCCAGCAUUGCCUCCUGGCAGCAGGAUGCUAGUCUAGACGCCACACCUGUGUUCUAGCAGCAGGAAUGAGGACGAAGCAAAGACAGAAGGGGAGGUCCUCUGAGAAAAGUCAGCUCACUUUAAUAAGCUUUCCAAGGAGCUCCAGCCAAAUGCUCCCCCCUCCACCUCAGUGCCACUGCCAUCAUCUAUGGAGUCUAUGAGGUGCCGUUUUCAGCUGGGCACAUUGCUGCCCUUGAUAAUGGGGGUUCUGUUUCUAAGGAAGUUUGGGAGAUUGUGCUGCUGGCGCUGGCGGUCACCCUUCUCUUGGCCCUCAGAUGUCAGUGUCACUGCUCAUCCUAGACACCUAAAGUUCAGUCUUCUCAUUUGACAGUCUUUCUGUUAUUGUCUCCAUUUCUUUCCGAUCUCUCAAACCUUUCAUUAUUCAAUAGGCAACUGUGACCAUUCACCCUGAUAUGUCAUUUUAAUGGAUUAGGAAAUGCCUGGCAGCUUUGUAAAGCAGGUUCCUGGGUGUCUGGUGAGUCACAGAGGCCUGACGCUGGGUCAUCCCUUCCCCUCUGGCACUGGUCCCCUGCUCUGCUCCCUGGCCAACAUGAACCAGCAGCUUUGCUCUGCACACCCUUCUGCCAUGAUGUUUCCGCCCAAGAACCAGCUGACCAUGGACUGAUUCCUCUGAAAGCGUGAGCUAAAUUAUAUCUUUCCUACUUUAAAUUGUGACUGUCAGGUAUUGUGCCUCAGCCAUGGGAAAGUGGACUAAUACAGAGACAAACAAGAAAGAACUCUCUUUGUGGCCCACAAGUUGAAAAUGGUUCUUUUGAAGUUGGGCACAGUGGUGCACUCCUGUAAUCCCAGCACCCUGGAAGGCUGUAGCAGGAGGAUCUCUGUGAGCUUGAGCCCAGCCUGUGCUACAUUGGAGUUCAAGGCCAGCCUGAACUACAUAGCAAGACCUUGUCUCAAAAAAAAAAAAUUUAUUUUUUUAAAAAAGGGCUGAAUAUGUAGCUUAGUGUAGAGGACAUGGAUUUGAUUCCAGUACUGGAAAAAAAAAUGUUGGUUGAUUCUGAAGCUGAAAGCCCAGGCCUUACUGAAUAUGCUCGCCUUUGGGGCAGCCUCACAUGAGGGGUCGCCCGUCCAGAGGCUUUUUUUUUUGGUACCAGGGAUCGAACUUGGGACCUUGCACUUGCAGACAGGUGGUGGCACCACUGAGCUAAAUCCCGACCCCUGAGACAUCUUUUCCGGGCUGAGACCGCCUGCCUGGCAUCUACUGUGCUCAAGUCCUUCUGGGAACAGUUUCCUGCCCUCUGCAGCCCUGGAGCUGCCCUGCUUGAACGCAGCAAAGGCUCGUGGGCAGCUGAUGACCAGCGGGUCGCUAAAGCCACUUUCUCAGGACUUAGAGGGAACAGCCUGCCGAUCUACCCACCUUUCUCCCACACCAGAGAACUGACCCUCAAAAGAAAUCCUGUAAAGCCAAGGAAACUGCCGGCUUCCAGCCCUGCAGUUUUAUUUAAUUAGGUUUGAAGUGGAGAGUGAUGAACUGGAUGUGUAUCCUCAAAGGUCAGGACAGCUGCAGAUAAGGAGAGGAGGGGACAGGCAGGCGGCCAACCACUGUGAAAGUGCCACGGAAGCCCAGAGAGACGGUGGAGGACAGCAGCGGCAGGAAGGACACGGCAGCAGAGGGAGUGUGGGUUCUGCAGCAGAAAGAACUGAAGGGAUCAGCCCCUCGUAUGCCCUUCCUGCACAGGUAGCCUUCUCAUCAAGCCUUCAUUGUGCUGAACUGAAGUAACCAGUCCACUCGCAGCAUUCCCUCCAGCGUGCAUUGCCCAGUGGGCCCCGUGGGCACCUGAGACGUGGUCCAUGCAAGGGGAAGACCCCGGUCCCGCGGCGGCCUCAGAAGUCCCAUCUGCAAGCUGCUCUCUCACCCUGAUUGCUGGAUUCUCUCUGAUUCAGGGUAGAAACCUGCAGAAAGACUUCCCGAAUAGGAAAACCCACCAGAGCUGCAGUUUUCAGACUGGGUGGCAAAAUCAGUGGGACAAGGAGCAUUAGGAAAGGAAGAAGAAAGGAAAGAAGGAAGAAGCUGGAACAAAAGAGAAUGCAACGAUACCACCUAGGAGAAUCGGGAUUCUUUCCUGAAACUCGAAUCAUAAAAAGAAUACGGUGUGUUGUACAUUUGGAAUCGAGGUGUUGAAUACACGUCUUACUCGGGUUGCUGUCAAAAAAUGUUUGAAAGCCACUGGC